rnacentral:tRNA from 1 species
CGCCUGUAGCUCAGUCGGUAGAGCACGAGACUUUUAAUCUUGGGGUCCUGGGUUCGAGCCCCAGCGGGCGCACUCCA